rnacentral:lncRNA from 1 species
GUUAAACCGCCAUUAGUUGUGAUUUUUCAAAAAUAUUUUUGGGCUCACAUUUUUUGGGCACACAUUGCCUCCAAAAAGAAAUAGAUUUAUUUAUAAAAAUUGACAAUUGCAUCUCCUUCGAUUAUUUACGAAAAAGUUGUAAUGGUUUCAUAAAAAGCUAAGUUUAGCUAUGCGUAUAUUGCUAAAAAUAUCCUUGUUGCAACAAGGAUUUUUUAUAACGUUUGCAAUAGUAAAAAAUGUUUGCAACAACGUUUAAAAUAGAAUAUAGUCAAAAAACUAUAUUCUAUUUUUAUUUUCCUUGAUAUUUGCUGUUCAUUAUGAAUAUGCAAUAUCAUCCAAAUGUUUUUGCUUCAUUAGAGUUUAUUCAAAGAUACAUGGUCGACUACAAUCCUGAUAAAGGGAAAAGAAAUGCUAAAGGAAAGAAAAAAGGAGCACUCAUUUGCCCACGCAUUGUCACGUUAAUUCGAGAAUUAAAUAGUUUUGGUUUGAACUCUGUUUGAAUAAAAGUUUUUAGAAUUAGUAGUUAUAAAAAAAAUAGUUAAUAAUCAAGAGAGGUCUGGUUUCGUAACAAAGAUUUACCAAAUUCAUCAACGUAAUAUUUCUGCUUUACAUCUGACUACAAUGAUUAUUUUUAUUGGCAUUUAGCACCAACAAUGGCAAAAAUUGGCCUUACGUAAAUCAUUCAUUUAGAGAAACAACUUUAAGGUUUUUUAUAGAUUAUUGCUUUGCUAAAUAAUAAAAUCUUACCCAAACACUUAUAUUAUUGUUUAUAUAUUUAUAUAUUAUGGUAUAUUUAUUUUUAUUUUAAAUUUCUAGUUGACUCGAUAUGAAAAAGAAAGGAAUAAAC